AGAUAGCUGGACUUUUUGGCAUGAAGGUGGAUACAGUUUACAACUUUGUUAAAAAAAUAAAUUAAAAAAAAUGGUUUAAAAAGACACGGCAACACAGAAAAGUUGAACUACCCUAAACCACAGUCAGCAGGGUCAUAAGGAAUAUGGUCUUGUUCAAAGUCCACAUGCAUGACAUACUAUAUUCUGAAACAUGCUACACAAGUGCAAGAUGACAGGUGACCAAAUAAUCCAUAGGAAUUGAAAAAUGGAGUGGACUAAAUUGACAGCUGUGACCAUCUGAAGUAUGCAUGAGGAUACUAACAAUGGAUAAAGUCAAGAUCAGCUUUACUUUGAUGAGUAAUCAUAAACUUUUACAGAUGCAGUACAUAUUAUUGAAGAAACAAGAGGAAUCUUGUAAGGAACAUAUAUCAAUACGGUGUAACAUUGAUUUGAUUACUUAAAGGAUACAGACGAGUGUUGGUUAUAGCUUUAUAUUUAUAAGAAACAAAUUUGUUAUAAUAUUCUAUAUAAAAAGAAAAGUGAACUAUAAGAUGAGGAAUAAAAGCCAGACGAUUACUCAAUUUACAUUCACCCUCUCUACUGAUUGACCUAUGUACUUAUACAACUGAGCAAAGUCUGGGCAUAAUUAAUGAUCACUAUUCAUAGCUUGCUCUGAUUGAUUUACAAUUUCUGUAUUUAUAUAGGCUUUGCCUGUUAUUCAAUCCAAUUGAUUACGACAUCUUGUCAAUAAAAUUUGAUGAAAUGAAAUUUACAGUUUCUGCACAACUUUAAGUGUCAAAUAUGACUAAAUUCUGAUGAGACUUUGUCAAUAUUUGUCAAUAUUUAUAGCAAAAUCUGUCAAUUCUAUUUUAUUCAUUCCUCCAUCUUAAAUGGGUCAAGUACAGAAUGGUUUCUCCUUUCACCACAUUCAAGAAAUAGUGAUUUAACUCAGAUUUGCUUUUGCACUUGGGGUAGAAAAAUUGAUAUUUAACAAGCAGUUUGGUUUUAUUACAACCAAAAACAUGAUAGUUUUAACAAUUUUAAGACAAAAUCAAGAUAAAUUUUACCAAAUUUAGUUGUGUCUGCAGAUAAUUACCCUGCAUAACAUACUCAGUUGUGUCUGUAACUCCUCAGUUCCACAACUUUGAUGUUGAAGCAACUGCAGUUAAAUACCCUAUAUCAGACAAAAGUUAUUUUUAACUUUAAUACUCCAAAAACGGUUAUGAGGUUUGGACAGGCAGUAUGUGUUUAUAAACUUGUGAUGAUGUGGCA